rnacentral:lncRNA from 1 species
CGCAAACUUACAAAAUGGCGGAUAUUUUCUGAAAUCAUCGCGUGUUCGCUUGCUUUUUUAUCAGAUCUUUUCAGGUCUAAAUGCUAUGAUCAUCAGACGCUAUUAUGACCCGAGAGCAUGAACAUGAAUCUUCAUUAGUUGAACAAACUACGCUAACACGUAUAUCAGAAAUGACCGUUAGAGAUCACGAGUUUAACCGAGGGAAAGGAAGCAUACCAAAGUAUGGAACAUUAAGAAAAUUGAAUGAUAUACCAAGGGGUGUUCGGCCAGUUAAGUCACUUUACAGAGUUGAUGAGUCCACUAAGACUAUAUUUUGAGCGAACUCACAAAUUAAAAUACAGCGCAACAGUUACGCUGUAUACAUGCAGUGGAUUGAAAUUGAUAAACUAUAACAAGAAAAUGUUCGGCUGCGAUUAAAUCCGUCUUCUCUGAAAAUAAACAAACAUAAUUAUGAUGUUUUCUGUUGAUUGCCACCACAAAUUUAAAUGCCAAAUCUACUGUUUUCAAUUUUGCCUUAAU